GUUGGGAAAGUUGACGAUGAAUUCGAUUAUCAAGUGUCUAGUUUGGUGUAGGAAGUCGUGAUAUCGGUGUACGUUCGUGGGGCGUGCCGUAAUUCGUGGUUCCUGUUCGAUGUGCUGGAAGACCAGUAAGCGUAGAUGUGUUUAGAGAAGAAAACUGUUUUGUCAGAACUGUUGGUACGAAAUCUACGUUCUCAGGAGGAAUAUGGUGUAGUGGUACAAGGAAACUAGGAUAAGCUUCUCCAGUGGGGUUCGUCAAUAGUGAGCAAGAUUCAUCGUGACCUGUCCUGUUUUGAGUGUGGAACCUAAUGAUAGGUAACUGGACCAGAUCUGAUCUAAAUGUUCAUGGUACUUGAUGAGGUAGAACUAUAUUCAUAGAAUAAAGCUCAUUGAAAUAAAUCCUAAUGAAACUUUUA